rnacentral:rRNA from 1 species
ACGCUCGACACCUACGGAGGCAGCAGUGGGGAAUAUUGCACAAUGGGGGAAACCCUGAUGCAGCAACGCCGCGUGAAGGAAGACGGUUUUCGGAUUGUAAACUUCUGUUCUUAGUGAAGAUAGUGACGGUAGCUAAGGAGCAAGCCACGGCUAACUACGUGCCUGCAGCCGGCGGUAAUCUGAGCGGGCUGGCAAGGC